UUGAACGCUGGCGGCAUGCUUUACACAUGCAAGUCGAACGGUAACAGGCCUUCGGGUGCUGACGAGUGGCGAACGGGUGAGUAAUGCAUCGGAACGUGCCCAAUCGUGGGGGAUAACGUAGCGAAAGUUACGCUAAUACCGCAUACGAUCUACGGAUGAAAGCAGGGGACCCUCGGGCCUUGCGCGAACGGAGCGGCCGAUGGCAGAUUAGGUAGUUGGUGGGAUAAAAGCUUACCAAGCCGACGAUCUGUAGCUGGUCUGAGAGGACGACCAGCCACACUGGGACUGAGACACGGCCCAGACUCCUACGGGAGGCAGCAGUGGGGAAUUUUGGACAAUGGGCGAAAGCCUGAUCCAGCAAUGCCGCGUGCAGGAUGAAGGCCUUCGGGUUGUAAACUGCUUUUGUACGGAACGAAAAGUCUCGGGAUAAUACCCUGUGACCAUGACGGUACCGUAAGAAUAAGCACCGGCUAACUACGU
rnacentral:rRNA from 1 species